rnacentral:rRNA from 1 species
CCUGGAAUGGAUUCUCGCCGAAAGGACGUCUAGACCAUGCUUCUAAGCGUUGCCCAAGGAGGGGGCCGCGGCCGAUCAGGCUGUUGGCGAGGUAACGGCUCACCAAACCUUUAACCGGUACGGGCCGUGAGAGCGGGAGCCCGGAGAUGGGCACUGAGAUAAGGGCCCAGGCCCUACGGGGCGCAGCAGUCGCGAAAACUCCGCAAUACACGAAAGUGUGACGGGGCUAUCCCGAGUGCCAUCCGCUGAGGAUGGCUUUUCCCCAGUGUAUAAAGCUGGGGGAAUAAGGAGAGGGCAAGACUGGUGUCAGCCGCCGCGGUAAUACCAGCUCUCCGAGUGGUGGGGACGCUUAUUGGGCCUAAAGCAUUCGUAGCCUGUUGGGCAAGUCCUCCGUUAAAUCCAACGAUUCAAUCGUUGGGCUGCGGGGGAUACUGUCCGGCUAGGGGGCGGGAGAGGCCGACGGUAUUCUCGGGGUAGGGGUGAAAUCCUAUAAUCCCGGGAGGACCACCAGUGGCGAAGGCUGUCGGCUAGAACGCGCCCGACGGUGAGGGAUGAAAGCUGGGGGAGCGAACCGGAUUAGAUACCCGGGUAGUCCCAGCUGUAAACGAUGCAGGCUAGGUGUUGGCGCGGCUACGUGCCGCCCCAGUGCCGCAGGGAAGCCGUUAAGCCUGCCGCCUGGGAAGUACGGCCGCAAGGCUGAAACU